rnacentral:misc_RNA from 1 species
GGGUUAGUAGGUUGGUCAUGCCUCUGGUAUGUACUGGUCUCACUGAUUCCUCCUUCCUGAUGAACCUUAAUGCCAUUAAUUUGGUGUUUUGGGGAAUUUGGACUGUUACUUUGAAAAAAUUGGAGUGUUUAAAGCAAGCUAACGCUUGAAUACAUUAGCAUGGAAUAAUGAAAUAGGACGUUUGAUUCUAUUUUGUUGGUUUCUAGGAUCGACGUA